ACGUAGGAGGCUAGCGUUAUCCGGAUUUAUUGGGCGUAAAGCGCGUGCAGGCGGUCUAUCAAGUUGGAUGUGAAAGCUCCUGGCUUAACUGGGAGAGGUCGUUCAAAACUGAUAGUCUCGAGAAUAGUAGAGGGAGCUGGAAUUCCGUGUGUAGCGGUGAAAUGCGUAGAUAUCCGGCAGAACACCAAUGGUGAAGGCAGGUCCCGGAAUUAUUACUGACGCUAAGGCGCGAAAGCGAGGGGAUCAAACAG
rnacentral:rRNA from 1 species